rnacentral:rRNA from 1 species
UUGGAUUCAAUGCCGUCCGGGUGUCGGGAGGUCCCUGCCAGAUGGCGCUGGUCGCCCACAACGAUUCAUUUCGUUUGUGGUGUCGUUCCCGGCGAUCACUCGGCAUUGUUGACCUAUGCCUGGCCCCGGAGGAGUGCACUUCCUCCCUAGUAGAAACGUCGCGACCCGUUGGGUGCCGGUCUAAGGCCCGGGAUGGCAGACCAUGUGUCCUGUGGGGGUUCUCACAGGCGUGUGGACUCUUGGUGACCCGGCCGGCUGCUCGACGGUAUGACCAGAGGAGUCGAUCCGCUAAAUGGGAAACACUAUGGUUUGUGUAGCGUCCGGCCCGGCGACGAUGCGUGCGGGGAUUGAGGUGUAAACCGGGGGUGUCCGUGCGAAGCACGGCCCCGGCCCUGCUGCGUUUUCGUUUGCCGGUGUCCUCGGACUGGAUCAGCACUCCCGUCUGCGACGCUCUUCUUCGGAUGGUCUCCCG